rnacentral:rRNA from 1 species
AGUGAACGCUGGCGGUAGGCCUAACGCAUGCAAGUCGAACGGCAGCACAGUAAGAGCUUGCUCUUACGGGUGGCGAGUGGCGGACGGGUGAGGAAUACAUCGGAAUCUACUUUUUCGUGGGGGAUAACGUAGGGAAACUUACGCUAAUACCGCAUACGACCUACGGGUGAAAGCAGGGGAUCUUCGGACCUUGCGCGAUUGAAUGAGCCGAUGUCGGAUUAGCUAGUUGGCGGGGUAAAGGCCCACCAGGGCGACGAUCCGUAGCUGGUCUGAGAGGAUGAUCAGCCACACUGGAACUGAGACACGGUCCAGACUCCUACGGGAGGCAGCAGUGGGGAAUAUUGGACAAUGGGCGCAAGCCUGAUCCAGCCAUACCGCGUGGGUGAAGAAGGCCUUCGGGUUGUAAAGCCCUUUUGUUGGGAAAGAAAAGCAGCAGGUUAAUACCCCGCUGUUCUGACGGUACCCAAAGAAUAAGCACCGGCUAACUUCGUG